GACGAACGCUGGCGGCGUGCCUAAUACAUGCAAGUAGAACGCUGAAGGAAGGAGCUUGCUCUUUCCGGAUGAGUUGCGAACGGGUGAGUAACGCGUAGGUAACCUGCCUGGUAGCGGGGGAUAACUAUUGGAAACGAUAGCUAAUACCGCAUAACAGUAGAUAUCGCAUGAUAGCUGCUUAAAAGGUGCAAUUGCACCACUACCAGAUGGACCUGCGUUGUAUUAGCUAGUUGGUGAGGUAACGGCUCACCAAGGCCACGAUACAUAGCCGACCUGAGAGGGUGAUCGGCCACACUGGGACUGAGACACGGCCCAGACUCCUACGGGAGGCAGCAGUAGGGAAUCUUCGGCAAUGGACGGAAGUCUGACCGAGCAACGCCGCGUGAGUGAAGAAGGUUUUCGGAUCGUAAAGCUCUGUUGUAAGAGAAGAACGAGUGUGAGAGU
rnacentral:rRNA from 1 species